GUCUAUGGCCAUGCCACCCUGAACAAGUCCAAUGUCUGAUCUCGGAAGCUAAGCAGGGUCGGGCCUGGAUGCGACUUGGAUGAGAGACCACCUAGGAAGACAAGGUGCUGUCGGCA
rnacentral:rRNA from 1 species